ACUCGAGUGGCGAACGGGUGAGUAACACGUGGGUGAUCCGCCCUGCACUUCGGGAUAAGCCUGGGAAACUGGGUCUAAUACCGGAUAGGAGCAAUUUUAGUGUGAUGGUUGGAAAGUUUUUCGGUGUAGGAUGAGCUCGCGGCCUAUCAGCUUGUUGGUGGGGUAAUGGCCUACCAAGGCGGCGACGGGUAGCCGGCCUGAGAGGGUGGACGGCCACAUUGGGACUGAGAUACGGCCCAG
rnacentral:rRNA from 1 species